CAACUAAAUAGUGGAACAGGUGGCCCGGUCAACGGGCUGAAAAGGGAAACCAGACACUCAGCACUGGAAAGUGCGGGGUGAAAAGGUGCGGUCCCGCCACUGUGAGGGGGAGUCUGUCCGCAGCAAUCCACUCAGAGCGACGCCAAAUAGAUGGCAUCCUUUGGGGAAGGAGCGGAAACAGCGAUGAACCCAAGCCAGGAAACCUGCCUGUUUCAGCACACAGCU
rnacentral:ncRNA from 1 species